rnacentral:lncRNA from 1 species
CUAGGUUCCAUUUAUCUUUCGAUAAAAUCAAUGACCAGAUCUUCUUCUCCAUUUAUCAUGCUAGUUUAUCUCUUAAGUUGUUAUUUUCGAUGACUCGGUAAAACAGUUCAGUUGGAUGUUCUCCACUGCGCAGACCCAGCCUGAUACUGUAGUAUAUUAUCUUCAUUUAGAGACCAAUUCAGUAUCAGAAAAAUACAUACAUAAAUCGAUUCUAUCGUAAUGAAGAAAGUAAUUAGGUUUGUGGGUGUGGUUCUCAACAAGUUUAAGGAUGCAUUGAUGUUUCUUCUCACAACUACGUCUGUUAUUCUGGAUAUGCCAUUGGGAUUCGCCAUUAUGCUUUAUCUCAGAAUAGAUAAGAUGGAUACUGAUUUCAUAAAUCUUUCAAUCCUUUUUUCUUCGAUACUUCUUAUCAGAUUUUCGAGGUUAAGGUGCUCAGGAGUUAUGCCAAAGAAUGGAAACUUUCAAGACCGUUGGGGCCCUUUUUUGUCCGUUGAUACUUGGAGAUAUCAUUCUCCCGACAUCCCCUGGAUAGUACCAUCAAUUGCUGAGAAUGGGAGAGCACCAGCAAGAAGAAGAAGAAAUUCAAAUUUAAAUACUAAUGUAAUGAAUCAAACUUUUGUCAUAAAGAUGGUGAUGGACCGUCCAAAUAGUUGGAAUUGCAAAGUUCGGAUCAUCUGAUGAAGUUUGCCUGCCAAAAUAAUCAAGUUCCUGGGUGGGCGAUGAUGAUGAUGAUAUUAUAUUAUCGUAUGAUUUUUCCAUUAAUAAAUUUUUCAUUACCGUUAUUCAAGUUUUGAAUUAUAUAGAAUUACUGAAUAUUUAUUUA